GAUGAAGAACGUAGCGAAAUGCGAUAAGUAAUGUGAAUUGCAGAGUUUUGUGAAUCAUCGAAUCUUUGAACGCACAUUGCGCCCGCUGGUAUUCCGGCGGGCAUGCCUGUUCGAGCGUCAUUUCAACCCUCAAGCCCCCGGGUUUGGUGUUGGGGAUCGGCUCUGCCCUUCUGGGCGGUGCCGCCCCCGAAAUACAUUGGCGGUCUCGCUGCAGCCUCCAUUGCGUAGUAGCUAACACCUCGCAACUGGAACGCGGCGCGGCCAUGCCGUAAAACCCCAACUUCUGAAUGUUGACCUCGGAUCAGGUAGGAAUACCCGCUGAACUUAAGCAUAUCAAUAAGCGGAGGA
rnacentral:misc_RNA from 1 species